UUGAUAUUCUUUUUUCUAUACCCAAUUUUAUAAUUGAUGUCCUGGUUAUACUUCUUCUCCCACUCAAAAGACUAGCGCACAACUUUUCCCUCUCUCACUCUUCAAACUCAUCAUUUUCUCCAUUCUUCUGGCACCGCCAGCCACCAGCCACCAGCGUCGCCAACCACCACUAAUCACAAUAGACUCAUCCAAGCUAUACACUGCUUCAUAGCUCUUUUUUUUAGUCCAAGCAAAUGAGCAAUAUAUAUAUGUCUUAUUCUCUCUGAAUAUACUGUGCUAGUUAAUAUUAGGACAAAAUCCUAAUGGCUUAGGAACCGGGACAAAUAUUUUUGCCAUGAGAACUUGAGUUUCAAUCAAAAGCAAAAUUUGAUGCAUGUAACAAAUUUCCAUUAGUUUGGAUGUAUUGUUAUUCCACUGUUUUUUCUUGUAUGCACAAUCUCUUUUGGGGAUUAAAAUUUGCUUUAGGGCAUGUGGAGGCUGCUAGCUUGUUUUUACCUUAGUUUUUAUCAUAUGGGGAUAAGAGAAAAGCCAUUAAAUGACUUGAUUUUCUCCCAAAAUUCUAGUUUUGUUUACUUUAUCAAUAAAAAAGUCUUAUAGAAAUAGAAAUUAAUGUGUUUAGCAACAGAGAUAAAUGAAUUAAUUACUUAAGUUGUUGAACAAAUUUUAGUUCAUUCU